rnacentral:rRNA from 1 species
GGUCAAGCUACUAAGAGCGCACAGAGGAUGACUUGGCAUCAGGAGCUGAUGAAGGACGUGAUAAGCUGCGAUAAGCUACGGGUAGACGCAAAUAGUCAUAGAUCCGUAGAUUUCCGAAUGGGGAAACCCGG